rnacentral:rRNA from 1 species
CCUACGGGCGGCAGCAGUGAGGAAUAUUGGUCAAUGGACGAGAGUCUGAACCAGCCAAGUAGCGUGAAGGAUGACUGCCCUAUGGGUUGUAAACUUCUUUUAUAUGGGAAUAAAAUGUUCCACGUGUGGGAUUUUGUAUGUACCAUAUGAAUAAGGAUCGGCUAACUCCGUGCCAGCAGCCGCGGUAAUCCGGAGGAUCCGAGCGUGAUCCGGAUUUAUUGGGUUUAAAGGGAGCGUAGGUGGAGUGUUAAGUCAGUUGUGAAAGUUUGCGGCUCAACCGUAAAAUUGCAGUUGAAACUGGCAGUCUUGAGUACAGGAGAGGUGGGCGGAAUUCGUGGUGUAGCGGUGAAAUGCUUAGAUAUCACGAAGAACUCCGAUUGCGAAGGCAGCUCACUGGACUGUAACUGACGUUGAGGCUCGAAAGCGUGGGGAGCAAACAGGAUUAGAUACCCGGGUAGUC